rnacentral:rRNA from 1 species
GGCAGCAGUGGGGAAUCUUAGACAAUGGGGGAAACCCUGAUCUAGCCAUGCCGCGUGAGCGAUGAAGGCCUUAGGGUUGUAAAGCUCUUUCGCUGGGGAAGAUAAUGACGGUACCCANUAAAGAAGCCCCGGCUAACUCCGUGCCAGCAGCCGCGGUAAUACGGAGGGGGCNAGCGUUGUUCGGAAUUACUGGGCGUAAAGCGCGCGUAGGCGGAUUGGAAAGUUGGGGGUGAAAUCCCGGGGCUCAACCCCGGAACUGCCUCCAAAACUAUCAGUCUGGAGUUCGAGAGAGGUGAGUGGAAUUGCGAGUGUAGAGGUGAAAUUCGUAGAUAUUCGCAGGAACACCAGUGGCGAAGGCGGCUCACUGGCUCGAUACUGACGCUGAGGUGCGAAAGUGUGGGGAGCAAACAGGAUUAGAUACCCUGGUAGUCCACACCGUAAACGAUGAAUGCCAGACGUCGGCAAGCAUGCUGUCGGUGUCACACCUAACGGAUAAGCAUCCGC